rnacentral:lncRNA from 1 species
GUGUGAGCAGUGGAGGAGUGCUGUGUCCAAAGAUUCCUCCAGAGUGAGCGAGCCUGCUGUCUGGAGGUGGGGAACCUGGGCAGGAGACCAGCGUUCCAGAAGGAGACAGGUACCUGAGUCAGACCCAAAGCGUAGUGACAAGAGUAGAUGAAGGAGGGUGGGCUAGGAGAGGGUUUCCGCCUCCCUGGGGUCCUAGCGUCAGGCAGACCCAGUUCAACUCCCUUCCAGACCCUGACUCACUGUGCAAUCUUAACCCCCCUGUGCCUCAGUUUCCACAUCUGUAAAGUGGGAUAAAUUCUGAGAGCCUUCUUGACGGUGAGAAGCUGAACCCCACCCCCCCCCAUGCUUCCCCCUCUCCUCAAACUCUGCCCCUUCCCCUCUUCAGACUCAGAGGGAUGGCCAAAGGUUUUGAGCCGAGACUUUUAGAAAGAGCUGGAAAUUGUCGUUCCAGCGCACCCAAAGGUACUUUUUCCUAACAGAAAAAUUGCACAUCACAACUCUGAGGCGUCAUUUGUUUUCCCCUAUGAGACUGGCAAAGAUUCAGAAGUGUGCCGAUGUUCUGCGCUGGCCGGGCUAUGGGAAAACAGGGAAGCCCGUGCCACGCUUCAGGAUCACAUGUGGCGCUGUCCCAGUGGAAGGCACACUGACUGGCAGAGGCCACGGGGGUUCCAAACACUCGUGCCUGCUGCCCCAGCAUCCGCUGCUGGGACUGUCCUGAAUAUUUCAUGUGGACAAAGUGACAAGGGCGGCAGUGGCAUGAACUAACUGAGGAGUGGAUAAAUGAAACGUGGUGCCUCCAGACAGCGGAAUGUUACUCAGCCGCAAAAAGUGGUGAAGUGCUGACGCUCCCUUGGUCAUGGAUGAACCUUGAAAACAUCAGGGUGAGUGAAAGAAGCCAGAGUCACAAAAGCCCACGGAGCCUAUGACUCCAUUGAUACGAGACGUCCGGACCAGGCAAAUCCCUAGGGACAGAAAGCAGAUUGGCG